rnacentral:rRNA from 2 species
CACGCCGUAAACGAUGAUUACUAACUGUUUGCGAUAUAAUGUAAGUGGUACAGAGAAAUCGUUAAGUAAUCCACCUGGGGAGUACGCCGGCAACGGUGAAACUCAAAGGAAUUGACGGGGGCCCGCACAAGCGGAGGAACAUGUGGUUUAAUUCGAUGAUACGCGAGGAACCUUACCCGGGCUUGAAAUGCAGAGGAAUGAUUUGGAAACGAGUCAGUCAGCAAUGACCUCUGUGUAGGUGC